GUGUGUAUGUGUGUGUGUUGUAAGGCGCAUGAAAGCAAAAACCAAGAACUAAAGCAACAGCAGCAGCAGCAGCAGCAGCCGCAGCAGCAAGCAGUCAGAGGAAGGAGAGAGACUGCUGCAGCUGCAACCCUGUGGGCCCUAAGGUGUUGCCAGUUGCCUUAACGAACACCUGCAGAGACACAGCAGACAGGUCCAGGGAGGCUUUAAAUGCAGGCAUAAAGAAGAAGGAGUGGGGUACCUGAAGCUGUGGAGGCCAGCCAUCAUCAGCCAGUUAGCAAUCUCACAUAUGCAUGAGCCCUGAUGGAGUCCCUGACAGAGGACUACUCCAUUUUACCAAGGACUCUACAAGAGAGCAGUGCUGCCCUGUCCUCCACUGCACCCUUUGCAGGUUAUGCCAGCAGAUCACCAAAUACAGGGCAGUUGGCCUGUAAGCUGUAUAGCCUUGACAGUUUAACACAGGACUUAAGUGUGAAACUGAGCACGGAUGUUGUGGCUCUCAGUUUUCAGUUUGACAUUAUAACAAGUCAGCUUAAUUCCACAAUUCAUACUCAUAUUUACCAAGAAUUUACCUUUUCAGUUUCAGACUGACUAAUUAGCUUUGUUGCUUAUUUAUUUAUAAUUGAAACCUAGUAAGAGAUUUACAUUGCUGCUU